UGCUAGGUUCGGAAGGAACCCGACGAGACGCGCCGUACCGGGUCGAAGGCAAAGACGACGCACC
rnacentral:ncRNA from 1 species